rnacentral:rRNA from 1 species
UACGUAUGGUGCAAGCGUUAUCCGGAUUUACCGGGCGUAAAGGGGGCGCAGGCGGCGCGCCAAGUCUGAUGUGAAACCCCGGGGCUCAACCCCGGGCAUGCAUUGGAAACUGGCGGGCUGGAGUGCCGGAGAGGUAAGCGGAAUUCCUAGUGUAGCGGUGAAAUGCGUAGAUAUUAGGAGGAACACCAGUGGCGAAGGCGGCUUACUGGACGGCAACUGACGCUGAGGCUCGAAAGCGUGGGGAGCAAACAGG